rnacentral:rRNA from 1 species
GAGUGGACUCCUACGGGAGGCAGCAGUGAGGAAUAUUGGUCAAUGGACGAAAGUCUGAACCAGCCAAGUAGCGUGCAGGAUGACGGCCCUCCGGGUUGUAAACUGCUUUUAGUUGGGAAUAAAAAAAGGGACGUGUCCCUUAUUGUAUGUACCUUCAGAAAAAGGACCGGCUAAUUCCGUGCCAGCAGCCGCGGUAAUACGGAAGGUCCAGGCGUUAUCCGGAUUUAUUGGGUUUAAAGGGAGCGUAGGCGGAUUGUUAAGUCAGCGGUUAAAGGGUGUGGCUCAACCAUACAUUGCCGUUGAAACUGGCGAUCUUGAGUGCAGACAGGGAUGCCGGAAUUCGUGGUGUAGCGGUGAAAUGCUUAGAUAUCACGAAGAACUCCGAUCGCGAAGGCAGGUGUCCGGGCUGCAACUGACGCUGAGGCUCGAAAGUGUGGGUAUCAAACAGGAUUAGAAACCCUUGUAGUCC